rnacentral:rRNA from 1 species
GACGAACGCUGGCGGCGUGCUUAACACCUGCAAGUCGAACGGAAAGGCCCUGCUUUUGUGGGGUGCUCGAGUGGCGAACGGGUGAGUAACACGUGCGUAACCUGCCCUUGACUUUGGGAUAACUUCAGGAAACUAGGGCUAAUACCGGAUAGGAGCUCCUGCUGCAUGGUGGGGGUUGGAAAGUUUCGGCGGUUGGGGAUGGACUCGCGGCUUAUCAGCUUGUUGGUGGGGUAGUGGCUUACCAAGGCUUUGACGGGUAGCCGGCCUGAGAGGUUGACCGGCCACAUUGGGACUGAGAUACUGCCCAGACUCCUACGGGAGGCAGCAGUGGGGAAGAUUGCACAAUGGGCGGAAGCCUGAUGCAGCAACGCCGCGUGCGGGAUGACGGCCUUCGGGUUGUAAACCGCUUUCGCCUGUGACGAAGCGUGAGUGACGGUAAUGGGUAAAGAAGCACCGGCUAACUACGUG